ACGGAAGGCAGCAGUGGGGAAUAUUUGGCAAUGGGCGAAAGCCUGACCCAGCAACGCCGCGUGAAGGAAGAAGGUCUUCGGAUUUUAAACUUCUUUUAUGAGGGACGAAGGACGUGACGGUACCUCAUGAAUAAGCCCCGGCUAACUACGUGCCAGCAGCCGCGGUAAUACGUAGGUGGCGAGCGUUAUCCGGAUUUACUGGGUGUAAAGGGCGCGUAGGCGGGGAUGCAAGUCAGAUGUGAAAUCUAUGGGCUUAACUCAUAAACUGCAUUUGAAACUGUAUCUCUUGAGUGCUGGAGAGGUAGAUGGAAUUCCUUGUGUAGCGGUGAAAUGCGUAGAUAUAAGGAAGAACACCAGUGGCGAAGGCGAUCUACUGGACAGUAACUGACGCUGAGGCGCGAAAGCGUGGGGAGCAAACAGGAUUAGAUACCCUGGUA
rnacentral:rRNA from 1 species